UACGUAGGGACCAAGCGUUGUUCGGAUUUACUGGGCGUAAAGGGCGCGUAGGCGGCUUGUCAAGUCACUUGUGAAAUCUCUGGGCUUAACCCAGAACGGCCAAGUGAAACUGACAUGCUAGAGUGCAGAAGGGGCAAUCGGAAUUCCUGGUGUAGCGGUGAAAUGCGCAGAUAUCAGGAGGAACACCAAUGGCGAAGGCAGCUCGCUGGGACGGUACUGACGCUGAGACGCGAAAGCGUGGGGAGCAAACAGG
rnacentral:rRNA from 1 species